rnacentral:misc_RNA from 1 species
GUGAAUCAUCAAAUUUUUGAACGCAAAUUGCGCUUCCUGGUAUCCCGGGAAGUAUGCCUGUUUGAGGGUCAGUAUUAACAAAAAAACGGGUUGGUUUCAAAUUUUUACGGUUCCGGAGUCUGGGCUUAUCUUAACUUUUUUGGUUAAGGGGCUUAAAAUUGACCUUUUUUGCGCAUUUUUAGACGUACAUAAAUUUUUUCUUUUUUCUUCUCUUUUUAAUGCCAAAAUAUUUUUAGAUGCGAU